rfam:Lingula anatina scaffold381, whole genome shotgun sequence.
UGCCUCUGUGUUGCUUGAUCACUAUGUUCAUUUUGUGCUCGAGUGUCAAAAGAGGCAAACAGUAUUAUCCUUUAGCAAUGUCCAGUAAGCAUUCAGUCUUGUGGUAGACUGUCUGCACGUUGCUUUAGGAGACAAUA